rnacentral:lncRNA from 1 species
CUAAGGCUCCCACCACUGCGGAUGGGCUGGAGACCGUGAUGGUCUAAAGCAACACCGUGUCACAACUGAAAGGUGGAGAAUUCUCUACAGUAGAGUUACCCUAACUCACCUAGGUAGCACCCGGUUGUCACUUGGGUCUUGCUAUUUAUAAAGUUCUGAUAAAACAUACCUUUCCAAGUAUUUUGUUGGUUUGUGUGUGUUUCUGUGUACAGCCAUCUGCACUGGAUUUAGAUACUGGAGAUUGAACCAGGAGAAAAAUCUGUGACCAGAUGCUGUGCUAUUCUCACCUGUUAAUCUCAUGUCUGCUGAUGCUUUUUUCUUAGAAGUUGUCUCCUAGGAAAUUCCUGUUAAACCCUGGCUUAUCAUUUCAGCAGACCCAUCUACCUAUGUGAUUUUUUUCCCCCUCUGUCUCUUCAUUAGCCUUUUAUUUGCUUAUAGUGUUUCUUUAAACG